rnacentral:rRNA from 1 species
CCCUCCCUCUGGCGGCAGGCCUAACACAUGCAAGUCGAGCGGACCUUUCGGGGUAAGCGGCGGACGGGUGAGUAACGCGUGGGAAUAUGCCCUUCUCUACGGAAUAGUCCUGGGAAACUGGGGGUAAUACCGUAUACGCCCUUUGGGGGAAAGAUUUAUCGGGGAAGGAUUAGCCCGCGUUGGAUUAGGUAGUUGGUGGGGUAAUGGCCUACCAAGCCGACGAUCCAUAGCUGGUUUGAGAGGAUGAUCAGCCACACUGGGACUGAGACACGGCCCAGACUCCUACGGGAGGCAGCAGUGGGGAAUCUUAGACAAUGGGGGCAACCCUGAUCUAGCCAUGCCGCGUGAGUGAUGAAGGCCUUAGGGUUGUAAAGCUCUUUCAGCUGGGAAGAUAAUGACGGUACCAGCAGAAGAAGCCCCGGCUAACUCCGUG